rnacentral:rRNA from 1 species
GAUGAACGCUGGCGGCGUGCUUAACACAUGCAAGUCGAACGAAGCACUUUAUUUGAUUUCCUUCGGGACUGAUUAUUUUGUGACUGAGUGGCGGACGGGUGAGUAACGCGUGGGUAACCUGCCUUGUACAGGGGGAUAACAGUUGGAAACGGCUGCUAAUACCGCAUAAGCGCACAGCAUCGCAUGAUGCAGUGUGAAAAACUCCGGUGGUAUAAGAUGGACCCGCGUUGGAUUAGCUAGUUGGUGAGGUAACGGCCCACCAAGGCGACGAUCCAUAGCCGACCUGAGAGGGUGACCGGCCACAUUGGGACUGAGACACGGCCCAAACUCCUACGGGAGGCAGCAGUGGGGAAUAUUGCACAAUGGGCGAAAGCCUGAUGCAGCGACGCCGCGUGAGCGAAGAAGUAUUUCGGUAUGUAAAACUCUAUCAGCAGGGAAGAUAAUGACGGUACCUGACUAAGAAGCACCGGCUAAGUACGUG